rnacentral:rRNA from 1 species
UGGUAAGGUAACGGCUUACCAAGGCGACGAUGUCUAGGGGCUCUGAGAGGAGAAUCCCCCACACUGGUACUGAGACACGGACCAGACUCCUACGGGAGGCAGCAGUAAGGAAUAUUGGUCAAUGGGCGGAAGCCUGAACCAGCCAUGCCGCGUGCAGGAUGACUGCCCUAUGGGUUGUAAACUGCUUUUGUCCGGGAAUAAACCCAGGUACGUGUACCUGGCUGAAUGUACCGGAAGAAUAAGGAUCGGCUAACUCCGUGCCAGCAGCCGCGGUAAUACGGAGGAUCCGAGCGUUAUCCGGAUUUAUUGGGUUUAAAGGGUGCGUAGGCGGCCCAUUAAGUCAGGGGUGAAAUACGGUGGCUCAACCAUCGCAGUGCCUUUGAUACUGAU